rnacentral:rRNA from 1 species
AUUGAACGCUGGCGGCAUGCCUUACACAUGCAAGUCGAACGGCAGCACGGGUGCUUGCACCUGGUGGCGAGUGGCGAACGGGUGAGUAAUACAUCGGAACGUACCUUAUCGUGGGGGAUAACGCAGCGAAAGCUGUGCUAAUACCGCAUACGCCCUGAGGGGGAAAGCGGGGGAUCGCAAGACCUCGCGCGAUUAGAGCGGCCGAUGCCUGAUUAGCUUGUUGGUGGGGUAAAAGCCCACCAAGGCGACGAUCAGUAGCUGGUCUGAGAGGACGAUCAGCCACACUGGGACUGAGACACGGCCCAGACUCCUACGGGAGGCAGCAGUGGGGAAUUUUGGACAAUGGGGGCAACCCUGAUCCAGCAAUGCCGCGUGAGUGAAGAAGGCCUUCGGGUUGUAAAGCUCUUUUGUCAGGGAAGAAACACCGGCUCUAACACAGUCCGGGAAUGACGGUACCUGAAGAAUAAGCACCGGCUAACUACGUGCCAGCCGCUGCCGUAACAC